rnacentral:piRNA from 1 species
UACCCAUGGAAGGAACGUUUAGAUGAGC